rnacentral:rRNA from 1 species
GUAAGGAAUAUUGGUCAAUGGUCGGAAGACUGAACCAGCCAUGCCGCGUGCAGGAAGACGGUCCUAUGGAUUGUAAACUGCUUUUAUUCGGGGAUAAACCUCCUUACGUGUAGGGAGCUGAAGGUACCGAAAGAAUAAGCACCGGCUAACUCCGUGCCAGCAGCCGCGGUAAUACGGAGGGUGCAAGCGUUAUCCGGAAUCAUUGGGUUUAAAGGGUCCGCAGGCGGGAUUGUAAGUCAGUGGUGAAAUCCGGCAGCUCAACUGUCGCACUGCCAUUGAUACUGCAGUCCUUGAAUUCGAUUGGAGUGGUCGGAAUAUGUCAUGUAGCGGUGAAAUGCUUAGAUAUGACAUAGAACACCGAUAGCGAAGGCAGCUCACUAAGUCUGAAUUGACGCUCAUGGACGAAAGCGCGGGUAGCAAACAGGAUUAGAAACCCGUGUAGUCC